rnacentral:rRNA from 1 species
UACGUAGGGGGGCGAGCGUUGUCCGGAUUUAUUGGGCGUAAAGAGCGUGUAGGCGGCCCGGUAAGUCCGCUGUGAAAGUCGGGGGCUCAACCUCGAGACGUCGGCGGAAGCCAUCUGGCUAGAGUCCGGAAGGGGAGAGUGGAAUUCCUGGUGUAGCGGUGAAAUGCGCAGAUAUCAGGAAGAACACCCGUGGCGAAGGCGGCUCUCUGGGACGGUACUGACGCUGAGACGCGAAAGCGUGGGGAGCGAACAGG